UGAUAACCUUGACGCCACUCUGGAGAAGCUGGGAACGGACCGUCCUGGCGAGGACUUUGAAGGACAGCUGCACCAUCAGCCAGACGACGGAAAAGUUCAGCUACCGAAUGAAGCUAUGGUGUUUGUGGGAGAUACAAUAGAUAUUCGAGACUUGGACAAUGUACUAGGCAAUCUGGGGAUUGAACUCACCAAAGAAGAACUUGAAGAGC